rnacentral:rRNA from 1 species
GACGAACGCUGGCGGCGUGCUUAACACAUGCAAGUCGAACGAAGUGGCGAACGGGUAAGUCAUACGUGUGUACCCUGCCCUCCUUUUUGGGGUAAGCCUUGGACACGGGGUCUAAUACCGAAUAAAGGGGGUUGGGCUCGCUGCCUAUCAGCUUGUUGGUGGGGUGAUGGCGUACCAAGGCGGUGACGGGUAGCCGGCCUGAGAGGGUGACCGUGAAAAUGGGGACUGGGAUACGGGCCAGACGCCUACGGGAGGAAGCAGUGUGGGAUAAUGCGCGAUGGGCGAAAACCUGAAGCAGCGGGGCGGCGUGGGGGAUGAAGGAUUUCGGGUUGGAAACCUCUUGCGCUAUCGAACGGGUAGGUAGAGAAGAAGCGCCGGCUAACUACGUGCCAGCAGCCGCGGUAAUUC